GCUAAGGGAGUGUGUAACAACUCACCUGCCGAAGCAACUAGCCCUGAAAAUGGAUGGCGCUCUAGCGUCGUGCUUAUACCGGGCCGUCAACGGCAAAGUGGACAGUUGUGGUCUUGUGCUGUAACUGUCGUUAAGUCUUGACGAGUAAGAGGGUCGCGACGGUGAGCGCAGAAGGGUCAGGGCGAGAGCCUGCCUGGAGCCGCCGUUGGUGCAGAUCUUGGUGGUAGUAGCAAAUACUCUAGCGAGGGCCUGGAGGACUGACGUGGAGAAGGGUUUCUUGUGAACAGCCGUUGCACAAGAGUCAGUCGACCCUGAGCCCUAGGAGAAAUCCGAUGACGAUGGGUGGCUUGACAAUAUACUACAUACAUUGUAUGUAUAGUGAAAACAGCUCCUAUCGGGCAAAAGGGAAUCCGGUUCCUAUUCCGGAACCCGGCUGCGUAACUGCAACUUUGCGGGCACUUGCUUGCGAGCGCUCGUCGGGGUAACCCAAACUGGCCUGGAGACGCCGGCGGGGGGUCUGGAAAGAGUUUUCUUUUCUUUAUAAGCGUUCGAGUACCCUGGAAUCCUAUAGCAGGGAGAUAGGGUUUGGAACGCGAAGAGCACCGCAGUUGCGGCGGUGUCCGGACCUUCCCCCCGGACCUUGAAAAUCCAGGUGAGGGCCACGCGGAAGUCGCGCCGGAUCGUACCCAUAUCCGCAGCAGGUCUCCAAGGUUAAGAGCCUCUAGUCGAUAGAAUAAUGUAGGUAAGGGAAGUCGGCAAACUAGAUC
rnacentral:rRNA from 1 species